AACGAACGCUGGCGGCAGGCCUAACACAUGCAAGUCGAGCGGACCCUUCGGGGUUAGCGGCGGACGGGUGCGUAACGCGUGGGAACGUGCCCUUUGCUUCGGAAUAGCCCUGGGAAACUGGGAGUAAUACCGGAUACGCCCUUUUGGGGAACGAUUUAUCGGCGAAGGAUCGGCCCGCGUUGGAUUCGGUGGUUGGUGGGGUAAUGGCCUACCAAGCCGACGAUCCAUAGCUGGUUUGAGAGGAUGAUCAGCCACACUGGGACUGAGACACGGCCCAGACUCCUACGGGAGGCAGCAGUGGGGAAUCUUAGACAAUGGGGGAAACCCUGAUCUAGCCAUGCCGCGUGAGCGAUGAAGGCCUUAGGGUUGUAAAGCUCUUUCACCGGGGAAGAUAAUGACGGUACCCGGAGAAGAAGCCCCGGCUAACUCCGUG
rnacentral:rRNA from 1 species